rnacentral:tRNA from 1 species
CAACUGACUUGUAAUCAGUAGGUCCACAGUUCGAAUCCGUGUGCCGGCACCA